rnacentral:rRNA from 1 species
GACGAACGCUGGCGGCGUGCUUAACACAUGCAAGUCGAACGGAAAGGCCCUGCUUUUGUGGGGUGCUCGAGUGGCGAACGGGUGAGUAACACGUGAGUAACCUGCCCUUGACUUUGGGAUAACUUCAGGAAACUGGGGCUAAUACCGGAUAGGAGCUCCUGCUGCAUGGUGGGGGUUGGAAAGUUUCGGCGGUUGGGGAUGGACUCGCGGCUUAUCAGCUUGUUGGUGGGGUAGUGGCUUACCAAGGCUUUGACGGGUAGCCGGCCUGAGAGGGUUACCGGCCACAUUGGGACUGAGAUACGGCCCAGACUCCUACGGGAGGCAGCAGUGGGGAAUAUUGCACAAUGGGCGGAAGCCUGAUGCAGCAACGCCGCGUGCGGGAUGACGGCCUUCGGGUUGUAAACCGCUUCCGCCUGUGACGAAGCGUGAGUGACGGUAAUGGGUAAAGAAGCACCGGCUAACUACGUG